rnacentral:rRNA from 1 species
GGAAUAUUGGACAAUGGGCGAAAGCCUGAUCCAGCCAUGCCGCGUGAGUGAAGAAGGCCUUAGGGUUGUAAAGCUCUUUCACCUGCGAAGAUGAUGACGGUAGCAGGAGAAGAAGCCCCGGCUAACUCCGUGCCAGCAGCCGCGGUAAUACGGAGGGGGCAAGCGUUGUUCGGAAUUACUGGGCGUAAAGGGCGCGUAGGCGGAAUAUCAAGUUAGGGGUGAAAGGCCCGGGCUCAACCUGGGAACGGCCUCUAAAACUGAUAAUCUUGAGUCCGGAAGAGGAUGGCGGAAUUCCCAGUGUAGAGGUGAAAUUCGUAGAUAUUGGGAAGAACACCGGUGGCGAAGGCGGCCAUCUGGUCCGGAACUGACGCUGAGGCGCGAAAGCGUGGGGAGCAAAC